UUAAAGUAGUAAGGGCGCAGGGUGGAUGCCUUGGCACUAAGAGCCGAUGAAAGACGUGAUAAGCUGCGAAAAGCUUCGGGGAGGAGCACAUAUCCAAUGAUCCGGAGAUAUCUGAAUGGGGAAACCCGGCAGAGGAAACCUCUGUCAGCGUGCAGUGAAUACAUAGCUGUACGUGGGGAACCCGGGGAACUGAAACAUCUAAGUACCCGGAGGAAGAGAAAGAAAAUUUAUCGAUUUCCAAAGUAGCGGCGAGCGAAAUGGAAAGAGCCCAAACCGUGAUGCGUGCAUCGCGGGGUUCGGACUGCGUUGUGGCAGACGUAAGAUAGGAGAACGGACUGGGAAGUCCGGCCGGAGAGAGUGAAAGCCUCGUAUCCGAAAUCCCAAGUCGCCUAGCAGGAUCCAGAGUAGGACGAGACACGAGAAACCUUGUCUGAACGAGCGGGGACCACCCCGUAAGGCUAAAUACUUCUUAGUGACCGAUAGCGCAUAGUACUGUGAAGGAAAGGUGAAAAGUACCCCGGGAGGGGAGUGAAAGAGAACCUGAAACCCUGUGUCUACAAGCUGUGGGACCUCUUUAUAUGAGGGACUGCGUACUUUUUGUAGAACGGUCCGGCGAGUUGUGCGUACUGGCGAGGUUAAGGACUUAAGGUCUGGAGCCGAAGUGAAAGCAAGCGUUAAUAGCGCGUCAAGUCAGUGAGUGCAGACCCGAAACCGGGUGACCUAUCCAUGUCCAGGUUGAAGCUUCCGUAAGAGGAAGUGGAGGACCGAACCCACAUCCGUUGAAAAGGGUGGGGAUGAGGUGUGGAUAGCGGAGAAAUUCCAAUCGAACCCGGAGAUAGCUGGUUCUCCUCGAAAUAGCUUUAGGGCUAGCCUCAUGAGAGUCUUAUGGAGGUAGAGCACUGAAUUGCCUAGGGGGCGUCAAAGCUUACCAAAGCAUAUCAAACUCCGAAUGCCAUCAAGAUGAUUCAUGGGAGUCAGACCAUACGAGAUAAGUUGGAUGGUCAAAAGGGAAAGAGCCCAGACCUACAGCUAAGGUCCCAAAGUACGUGUUAAGUGGAAAAGGAUGUGGGGAUUCUAAGACAACUAGGACGUUGGCUUAGAAGCAGCCAUUCAUUGAAAGAGUGCGUAAUAGCUCACUAGUCGAGAGUCCCUGCGCCGAAAAUGUCCGGGGCUGAAACACGACACCGAAGCUUAGGAAUGUGUAAACAUUGGUAGAGGAGCAUUGUUAGCGGGAUGAAGCCAUACCGUAAGGAGUGGUGGACUGCUAGGAAGAGAGAAUGCCGGAAUGAGUAGCGAGAUGAAGGUGAGAAUCCUUCAGGCCGAAUAUCUAAGGUUUCCAGAGUAAAGCUGAUCUGCUCUGGGUAAGUCGGGACCUAAGGCGAGGUCGAAAGACGUAGUCGAUGGAUAACAGGUUGAAAUUCCUGUACCGCAUAUAAACAGAACUGUGGGGACACAGACAGGGAAUGGAAUCCGGGAAUGGAGAUCCCGGUGCAAGCGAGGUAGGAGUGCUGUUGGCAAAUCCGCAGCACGAUCUGAAGACGUGACGCGUACCGAACAUAAGUAGGGAAGUCCAGGCCCCUGGCUGUCAAGAAAAGCCGCUAUCGUUUUAUAUGUGCCCGUACCGCAAACCGACACAGGUGGAUGAGGAGAGAAUCCUAAGGCCGACGGGAGAAGUAUUGUUAAGGAACUCGGCAAAAUGACUCCGUAACUUCGGGAGAAGGAGUGCCAGCGAGAGCUGGCCGCAGAGAAUUGGCCCAAGCAACUGUUUAGCAAAAACACAGGUCUAUGCAAAACCGUAAGGUGAAGUAUAUGGGCUGACGCCUGCCCGGUGCUGGAAGGUUAAGGGGAGAGGUUAGCGCAAGCGAAGCUUUGAACUUAAGCCCCAGUAAACGGCGGCCGUAACUAUAACGGUCCUAAGGUAGCGAAAUUCCUUGUCGGGUAAGUUCCGACCC
rnacentral:rRNA from 1 species